CAACAUCAAGGUAAUGUGACUCCAGUUCUCAAGACUCUCUCCAAGUUCUCAAAAUUGAUUUUUGAACCAAGGAAGAGCUGCCUUCCAGAUUCACGUGUAAUUCUGUUGAGCGCUUUCGAACGUGAUCAAAACAACACCACCGCCACCAGGGAAUUUCCACCUCUUUAAUUAUUCUACCCCCCACCAAAGGAAGAUUCUUCCACAACCACAUUAUUAUACGGGGGUUUCAGCAAUACCAUACUCGACGUAAUUGAAGAGACUCAUGGUCAAGUUACAAACUUGGAGCUCGCUCAACAGGCUAUGGCAAAACUUAGGAUGCUGGGUAUUCAUCAAAAAGCCGGACUAGACCAAGAGAGACUGGUGUAUUAUUUAAUUGAUGUUAGUUCUGGAACCAUGUAGUUCUUUUAUUUUCCAUCUCAGUUAGAUACAUGUUUUAUAAAUUUGCAUUUGAGUGGUUAUGUUUUAGAUUCUGUUUCAGUUUACUCAACUAGAUUUGAUUAAGUGAAUUGGAAUAAAAUAAAAUUAAAAACACGUGAAAAUGAUGACUAAGUAAAAUUGGAGUUAAAUAAGACUCAAAUACACGCCGGGACCCAAUUUAAUUAAAAAAAAAAUCAGGGACAACAUUUCAAGAAAAAAAAUUCACAGACUAAUUCUGAUAUCCUUUACGAUCUUAGGAACAUAAAGGGUAUUUAAGCCUAAGUUAUGUUUACGUACCUUUUUAUUUGUUUAUAAACUCUAGUCAAUUUACUUUGAAAAAAAAAAAACUCC
rnacentral:lncRNA from 1 species